GAUGAACGCUGGCGGCGUGCUUAACACAUGCAAGUCGAACGGAAAGGCCCAAGCUUGCUUGGGUACUCGAGUGGCGAACGGGUGAGUAACACGUGGGUGAUCUGCCCUGCACUUCGGGAUAAGCCUGGGAAACUGGGUCUAAUACCGGAUAGGACCACUUCUUGGAUGUUGUGGUGGAAAGUUUUUUCGGUGUGGGAUGAGCUCGCGGCCUAUCAGCUUGUUGGUGGGGUAAUGGCCUACCAAGGCGUCGACGGGUAGCCGGCCUGAGAGGGUGUACGGCCAAAUUGGGAGUGGAAACGGGCCCAGCCCCCUCGGGGGGGAGGCGGGGGGGAAUUUUGCAAAAUGGGCGGAAGCCUGAUGCAGCGCCGCCGGGGGGGGGAUGACGGCCUUCGGGUUGUAAACUCCUUUCGCUAGGGACGAAGCGUUUUGUGACGGUACCUGGAGAAGAAGCACCGGCCAACUACGU
rnacentral:rRNA from 1 species